rnacentral:rRNA from 1 species
UACGGGGGGGGCAAGCGUUGUUCGGAAUUACUGGGCGUAAAGGGCUCGUAGGCGGCCAACUAAGUCAGACGUGAAAUCCCUCGGCUUAACCGGGGAACUGCAUCUGAUACUGGAUGGCUUGAGUUCGGGAGAGGGAUGCGGAAUUCCAGGUGUAGCGGUGAAAUGCGUAGAUAUCAGGAGGAACACCCGUAGCGAAGGCGGCACUCUGGGCCGGAACUGACGCUGAGGAGCGAAAGCGUGGGGAGCGAACAGG